AGGAGAUUCGUAAAUAAAUAGAAAAUAAUAUAUAAAAUAAAAAGCUCCUCACAUCUCCCUGGAAAUGGCGCACUUCCAUCUCCAGUACAGAUCAAAACUAAAUUAGCCAUACUUUUAUACAUACAUACAUUAACAUACAUACAUGUAUAGAGUAGGUCUUGUGUGCUAUUAGAAGCACGGAGGCCUCCGUGCUCCGAAGCUGUUUUCGAUGAUGGAGCUUUCGAAUCGACGAUCGGCUCCGUUAGACUUGAUCUAGUGUAUUUAAACUAUCUAGAAAAUAAUUUUUGUAAUUUUUCGGUAUCAUUUUCCUAGCGAUCGAAAGGGCUCAAAAUCAACAAGUUUUAAUGGUUGAUGUAUAUCGUUUGCAAGUUUAACGGUAUAGAAGUAUUCAAAUUAAAUAAAAUUUUGAUAGAAAAUUCUUUAUACUAUUUACAGCAAGAUCAAUAUGUUUGAUUAAAAAUUUUAAUGCUAUAUCACUACUUUUUGUAAGAUUUUUAUUUUUAGCCGUUCAUUUUGAACCCUUUCGAUCGCUAGGAAAAUGAUACCGAAAAAUUACAAAAAUUAUUUUCUAGAUAGUUUAAAUACGCUAGAUCAAGUUUAACGGAGCCGAUCUUCGAUUCAGAAGUUUCAUCAUCAAAAACGGCUUAGGAGCACGGAGGCCUCCGUGCUCCUAAUAGCACACGAGACCUACUCUACAUACAUACAUACAUACAUACAUAUAUAUAUAUAUAUAUAUAUAUGUUGGGUGCCGAACGUCCCGACUCUUGACCCGGUCAACAAUUCUCCUCGGGAAGAUCGUCGGGCUGCGAGAUGGCUGUGGAUUAUGACCCUCGAAAUAUGCGCCCACAGACGAUCAAGCGAUUAGGCCGAUGAGGGAUCGAAUCAGCCGGGUUCGAAAACCUUCACAGUAAAUUCGCGUCGGCAGGAUGAGCUGAAUGGAGAGGGGGAGCCCAGAAUUCGACUAAAAAAAGGAGCCGAAUGGCCAAACAACUUGUGAUCUGAUCGGCGGGAAGAGCCGAAGAUGACUUUUUAUUGAAAUGCACAGGAAAAAAGUACACAAACAGGGGAGUGAUGCCCGUAGGGUAGACAGACUCCGAGUAUGGGAACAGGGGAGUGAUGCCCGUAGGGCAGACGGACUCCGAGUAUGAUAAAUUAAAAGAACUACUCCUAGAGAAAGCGGUAAAUGCGAAAAUUGAAAGAUGCAGAAAAAUAAAGGUGGUCUUUUGUGCGUAGGGGCCAAGACCUCUUUUCAGGGUGUCGUAUGCCUAUUUAUAAAGUUGCCCUUGCGUUCAGUUAUUGCACGAUCGGCCAUUAUCUCCUGAUUUGUAGGACCACCGUCGGCCGAUUGGAACUGCUCGUAACCGCUUGCGGUUGUUACUCUUUUGAACCACCGCGGCUCAUGUCUUCUGGCGCGUUUUAUAUACUCCCGGUCCACCAUAUUGACAUAGACCAUGGACGUGGUCCGGCUUGCCAGCUGUCCGCACCGAAUUGGCCCAACAAUUGCCCCCUCGGCAGCUUUCGAAGCAAUGCUUCGGUAGCUGGCGUUAUAUUUCGAACCCUUAAUAUACUUUUCGUCUUAUCUUUUGAAAAUAAGUGCGAUCCGAGGCGUCUUCCUCGGUCCAAUUAAAUUCAAAUUCUCUGACAUAAUCUGCAACAAUCCGUAGCACAAUCUUUUGUACGGUUUAAUAUUGGCCGCUGAUUCUCUCUUUUACGGCCUUGAUCACAUUCUCUGCUUUUGUCUCAUACGCGGCAUUAAUUAGGUCAUCUUAAUUACCGCCGUUUAAUCAUCAUUAAAGCCGACCUCGAAACUCGUUUCGAUGUGACGGUUCGACUCUACGGCCUUUCUUCUUCUCCAAGCUUUUACCUUUUUGUCUCUUCUAUUCCCAAGCUUUUACUUUUUUGUCUUUUUUAUUUUUUCUUCGUUUUUCAAGAGACUUUUCUUUCGCUUCUUUCGGCGUCUUCUUCAUUUUCUUUUGUUUCGAAGAAUGGCGCCUCUUCCGCCAUUGCCUACUCGUCCUUCAUUGGACUAUACUCUGCUUAGAUCAUAUCUUGAUUCAGACCCUACUAGGUUUAUCUUGGGUCCCUCAUUUACCGCAGACCCAUCUGCCGAUGAUUUCCCGUUUUCUAAUGAAGGUCUUCCUUUGAUGGCUGAAAAUAUUCAUCUUCAUUCAUGGUAUCCUUCGGCUUCGACGGGAAGAAGUCUUCGAACCUGGCCUAGUACCUCAGAAGCCUAUCUGGCUUGGUUGGAUCGUGUACAAGCCACUCACGGCGAUUUGUGGCGAGAAACUGACAUCUAUGAAGCCAUCCAACUAUCCCGAAAACCUCCUUCAGCUGAUUUCCUUCUUUUGGCUUCCGCCCUUUGUUUCUGGUCCCCUGUUUCCAACAUUUUUCUUUUUAGAGGCGGCCCUCUCACCCCAACUCUUUUUGAUGUUGCCGCCAUUGUUGGCCUACGUCCUCAUGGUAUAACCCUUUCCAUGGCUUAUAGCCCUGAUAGUGUAUCCGAUUUUGAGGCUAAUCUUGAUCUUAAUGAUUUGGCCUACUCCAAAUUUCUUCGUAAGUUCGCAGGUGAAUCUCCUGCUCCGGUCACUAAGAAGGAGCAUACGGCAUUCCUUCUGUACUGGCUAUGUCAUAAUCUUUUCUGCACUCGUUCGCAGAAAAUUAACCGAGAUUUUGUUUCUAUCGCCGUUUGUUUAUCUAACGGCGAUAAAUUGGCCUUGGGGCCCUAUUUUCUUGCUUUUGUUUACAGAGAACUUUUUGACGCUAUUAGGCCAUCACCCAAUGACAAUGAUGUCACCAUUAGCUCGGGUUGCGACGUUUUUUGGUUUUUGCAGAUGUUUUUACAAAUUUACUUCAGUAGGUUGUGCCGAGAACCUUUAGAUCUGAGCUCGGCUGCUCGCUUUGACACUUAUGGACUUGCUCUCGGCUGUCCUCCACCAUUUACACCUGGGCAUCCUCUGGACUUCCUCACUUAUUUUUCUGUUUUUUAUGAUUCGAGCCCUCACUUUCUUAUUUAUUGGUCUCCUUUUGCUGAUCGAGUCACUGCCCCCCCCUGGUUUUUGGCCAGAUAUGAAUCACUUUAGGGUGAACUCGCCUCUUCUCGUGCUGGCGAGUAUUCUGAUGUUUGGUAUUCUUUUUUGGCUCCUCGGGAUUUGCACAUCAGCUUGAAAUUACGCUCGAAGUUAUUACCUAGUACCGAGGUUUACUCUCCACAAUUUGCGGCGCGCCAAUUUGGUUUUACACAGGCCAUUCCUGCUCCGGCCAAAUUUUUCACGGCUAAUACUGCCACUCAUCGCCCGCCUACCAAGAGCAUAGCUGACGCCGACCAGAUUUCGGCUAUGGGAAACCGUCUGCGGCGAUUUUUCAAAUUGGUCAGCUUCAGGACCAAUCAUACCGGAGUAUUAGGUUUUCGCUAUGCUGUGAAUUGGGAUAUCUUUCUCAAGAAAACCUUUUCUCCCAUCAUCUCGUGUGCACAUCGCAAGACUCGUCAUCCUCUCAGUAUGAUAUUUCUUUUGAAAAUGACUUUCUGCUUAUAAUUACUGCUACUCAUCUUUCUUUCUUUUGUCUUUACUUUUGUUUGUAGCUCCUUUCCUAAGUAAGGCUCAAUUGGAGAACCCUGCCGAACCAUCCAUAUCAGACGAAAAAUCAGAAGAAGCUGCUGAAUCUCCACCUCCUUCCUCUGUAAUGUUUUCUAAUCUGUUUCUCCUCUAUUCUUUCUAUUUUGGUGUUUGUAAUACUCAUUUUAUUUUCAUUGUUAGCGUAUGCCCACUCCUUCAUCGGUCCCAACUUCAAAUAAGAGACCGACUGAGACUAUACAAGUUACUCCUCCGCCGAUUUCGAAACGGCGUAAAUCAGUUGCUAAGCGGCAAUUUCGACAAGCCGAAGGUGUUCCUUCGGCUGACAAUUUAGAGGACACAGCCGAAGAUGUGCCUUCGGCCUCAAUUUCAACAACAAGAGCCGAAGACAUGCCUUCGGCUAAAAUUCUACUAGAGAAAACUGUUGUGCCUUCCUCAACUACGGAACCAAGCUGUGUUCCGACCGAGAAAAUUGAUAUCGGGGUACGUCUAAUUAAUUGGUUAUACGAGAAGAACACUUCUUAAUUAUUUAUUAAUCUCUUUUAAACUACAGUCUUCUCCUCAACGAUCCUCUUCGAAGAUGCAGAUGGAACGGCAGCUUCGCAGGGAAGCCCGUCUCGAGAAAAAGAAAGGGAUAGAAAAGAAGAAGAAGUUUGUUGAAAUGGAGAGCACGACGCCGUUACCUAGUGAGGUUACGUCACCUCUUUCUGCUCUUGCCCCAUCAUCAACUACAGGGGAUGAACAGAUAAACAUACCUCCCAGGCGAACUUCCGAAGAUACCAGCACUAUUCCUCCCUACUUGCCUCGGGGAGCUGCUUCCCCUAUUGCUGAUGAUCCUUUAUCUGCAAUUCUUCAUUCUUUUUUGACUUCAAGUCCCAGCUCCAAUGAAGGGGAUGACUCUUUGACCAUUACCAUUUCAUCAGACACCCAGAAUAAGUUCAAUGAAUGUCUUAAAAUGUAUAGCAUUGGUAUUCCUGGUCUAGCUCAGAACCCAGAACAAUUUGAUCAGCUAUAUGCCCUUUUACUUGAUUUAGCCGAUUAAUCAGAUAUUACUCCCGGCAUAAAAUGUUUCGUAGCAACCUUAUCACUUCAACUUUCAUCUUUUUUGGUUCGGCAGCAGUCUUUGGGUGCCGAACUCGUAGCUUUAGAUCAACAUUUUCAUCGAGUUGAUCAUUUUAAAAAGAAUAUUCCUGAUAUAGCAGCUCCGCCUACUAAAAUACAUCAAGAGGAUAAGGAAUUGGCUGAUCAAGAAUCGGCUCUACAACAACGAAUUUCUAUCCUUAAAGAAGAGUUAGCCGCAGCCGAAUCUACUCUCGCACAAACCUCUGGGCGCCGACUUCAAUUAAAAGAUCUAUUGAAGUCCAAAAAGGAAGAAGGGAUAAGGCUUAAAGAAGAGCUUUCUCAACUCUACAAAAUACAUCCUUUGAUGAAGCGCCGAAGGAAACCUGCUGAAACUGCCCAAGCCAAUCUUAUAGCCGAAUGGAAUCAACUCAGAGAUUUACUGUCCUGAUUCGGCUUGUAAUAUUCUAACUCUGAUUUCAAUUAAUGCUCCCACAUGGAUGGGUAAUAUUUCUUUAAGUAUUUUCCGUUGAUUGGUUUUUCACUUUCUGACCCAUCUUUGUUUUGUAAAUAAUAUGCGUUUCCUCUUGUGAUUCGGCUAACCUGGAAUGGUCCUUCCCAAUUUGGGGACCACUUCCCAUAUGUUCGGUCUUUUUGACCGAUUGGAUAAAUCAGCCGAAGUACUAAAUCACCGACAACAAACGCCUUCAGUCGAACUUUCUUAUUAUAUGCAUUACGUACUCGGCUUUGGUAUGCUUGUAUAUUGUCUAAAGCUAUCAACCGAGUAUCUAUUAUCUCCUCUGCUUGAUCUUUCAUUAGAUCAAUAUAUUCAUUAGCCGAGAGGUCUUUUUGUUUCUCUAUUCUUAAAGAAGGAACUGUUAUCUCAGCUGGAAUUACGGCCUCAUGGCCAUAAACUAAUUGGAAUGGUGUCAUCCCUGUUGCCGUUUUUACUGAGGUUCGGCAUGCCCAUAAUACUUCGUAAAGCUUUUCAUUCCACUUUCUCGGGUACUUUCCAAUAUGCCGUUUCAUAAGGUUGAUAAUUAUCUUAUUUGCUGCUUCUACCUGCCCAUUCGCUUGAGCAUAAUAAGGAGAUGAAUGUAGCAGCUUUAUCUUUCGAGACUCGAUGAACCGAACAAACUGUCCCCCCGUGAACAUUGUCCCUUGGUCGGUUGUGACGGUCUCAGGAAUUCCAAAACGAUGAAUUAUCUGAUCUUCAACAAAAUCAAUAAUUUCCUUUUGAGUGACCAAUCGAGUAGAUCUGGCUUCCACCCAUUUAGUAAAAUAAUCGAUAGCUACUAUCAGAAACUUGUGUCCAGCCGAAGAAUUCGGCUGAAUUUCUCCAAUUAAAUCCAUGGCCCAUCCUCGGAAAGGCUAUGGUUUAAUUAUGGCGUACAUCUCAGAGGCAGGGACUCUCUGUAUUGAACCAUGAAAUUGACAUUCUUGGCAACCUUUAGCAUACUCUAUGCAGUCUUGAUGCAUAGUCAGCCAAUAAUAUCCUAUGUGCCGAAUUGUCCAUCUUAACUUUUUUCCUGCCAGAUGGGUUCCACAUAUUCCCUCGUGUGUUUCUCCCAUUACUAGUAGAGCCUCUUCCGGCCCUAAACAUUUCAAUAGAACUUCUUCGGCUGUUCUUUUGUAUAGUUGACCAUCUAAUAAACAGUAGCCGAGAGCUCUUCUUCGAAUAUUAUAAUCGACCUUGAUAUUAGGAUCCUCCAAAUAUUUGAUCAAUGACUUCCUCCAAUCAUCUUUUACUUCUAUAGGAGCUAUGAUCGGUUCUCGUAUAUGAACCGAAGGUAGCAAUCUCUUCUGUAUUACUGUUGACUCUGACUUCGGCUUUCUGUAUCCUGAAGCCGAUUGGGCCAAUUUAUUUGCCUUUUCGUUUUCCUGUCUGCCCAAAUAUUCAAAAUCGACUCCUCCGAAAUUGCAUAAUAAUUCCAAUGUCUUCCUCAAGUAAUUUUGCAAAUUCGGAUUCUCACAUCGGUAUUCCCCGUUAACCUGUUUGAUUAUUAACUGUGAAUCACCGAUGACUUUGACUGACUUCGCCUUUAAUUCUUGCAAUAUUUCAAGGCCGAUUAUCAAGGCCUCAUAUUCGGCUUGGUUGUUAGAGCAACCGAAAUCUAAUUCAAAUGCAAACUGACAAACAUGACCUUCAGGGGACUGUAUCACUACCCCUGCUCCUGCAGAUUCAGUUGUUUUUGAACCGUCAAAAUACAACAUCCAAGGUUGACAGCCGAUUACAUUUAAUUUCGGCUCCUCGAUUUCUACACAUGGGUGAUCGGCCAAAAAAUCAGCUAUAGCUUGGCCUUUAAUAGCUUUGGCAGGAACAUAAUUAAGGAAAAACUCAGAUAAAGGUAAUAUCCAUUUCCCAAUACGUCCCCGUAACACUGGUUUGGAUAACAUAUAUUUUAUCAAAUCGGUCUUGCAUAUUACCGAUACUUCAGCUGAUAGAAUGUAGUAUCUUAAUUUUGUACAUGAAUAAUAUAAAGCCAAACAUAAUUUUUCUAUAGCCGAGUACCGUUUUUCGGUAUCUAACAGACGUCGGCUUAGGUAAUAAAUUGCCUGUUCUUCAUUCUUUUCAUUUUCUUGAGCCAGUAAACAUCCUAAAUUUUCAUUUGCAGCCGAUAUAUACAACUUCAUCGGCUGAUUCGGUUUUGGAGGUGUCAGUACUAGAGGAUUUGAUAAGUAUCUUUUUAUAUUUUCAAAUGUCUCUUGCUGUUCGUCUGUCCAAACGAAUUCUUCUUUAUCUUUCAGCCGAAGUAAUGGAGUAAAAACCCCGAUUCUUCCGGCCAAAUUAGAUAUAAACCACCGAAGAUAAUUAAUCUUCCCCAACAAACUCUGUAGCUCCUUUUUGCACUUAGGUGGCGGUAACUCUAAUAUUGCUCUUGCUUUAUUUUUAUCAAUUUCAAUCCCUUUCUUAUGCACCAAAAAUUCCAAGAAAUUUCCUGCAGAAACCCCAAAGGCGCAUUUUAAAGGAUUCAUUUUUAAAUUAUAUUUUCUCAUUCUCUCAAAAGCAAGCUUUAAAUCAAUCCAAUGCUUGGCUUGUGACUUGGAUUUGAUAACUAUAUCAUCGAUGUAUACUUCCAACAUUUUGCUGAUCAAGUCAUGGAAAAUAAAAUUCAUGGCUCUUUGGUAAGUAGCUCCGGCAUUCUUUAAGCGAAACGGCAUAACAACCCAUUCAAAAGUUCCGAUUGAAUCGGGGCAUCUAAAAGCCGUUUUAGCCACAUCUUCUUUAGCAAUAUAAAUUUGAUUAUAACCAGCGUGUCCAUCCAUAGAGGACAAAACUUCAUUACCAGUAGCCGAAUCUACUAACAUAUCGGCUAUUGGCAUUGGAUAUUCGUCUUUAGGUGUAGCUAAAUUCAAAUUCCUAAAAUCGAUACAAACUCUAAGUUUGCCAUUCUUUUUACGUACUGGAACUAUAUUAGACACCCAAUCAACAUAGCGGGCCGCUCUAAUAAAUCCGGCCUUUAAAAGAUUUUUAAUUUUAUUUUUAAUUUGUAGUACAAUACUCGGCUCAAACCUACGAGCCGGUUGCUUAAAAGGCUUAAACCCUUUCUUGAUAGGCAGCCGAUGUUCCACAAUCUCUCGGCUUAAACCCAGCAUUUCUUCAUAGCUCCAGGCGAAGUAAUCCUUGUACUCCUUUAACAGCUUCUUCAAUUCUUCCUGUUGUUGAGCCGACAGCUUGGAACUUAUAAACGUCGGCUUGUUGUCUUCACAAGACUCCAGAUUUACUUCUAUCAACAAGUCCUGGAUCUCUAGCUUUUUCUCGUCGGCUUUAAUAGGCGAUUCUUCUAACUCCAUUCCUGCUGUUUGCCUAUUUAUCUCAUAUGAUUUGUCAAUCUUUAUAGCCGAUUUCAGUUGACCUUCAUUCUCGGCUUUAUGAACCGAGUCUUUUAUGACUUCCUCGGCCUUAUUGGCCGAAUUAUCAGGUGCUAACACAUCAGCUUUGGCAGCCGUAUUAUCCUCGUAGCCGAUCUUGUUGAUCGGCUCAUCUUGCUGAGGCUUAUGCCAUGCCUCUAUUCCCGAUUUUUGGGACUCCAUUUUAACCAUCUGGGUGGCUCUUCAUCCGCCACCAAAGUUUUGAUAUCUUUUGAGAGAAUUAAUUGAAUCCCCUAUUCCGUUACUUUUACGAACGAAAUCUGAUCUGGAUCAGCAUUGGCCCAAUUGAUGUGGCCGAUGUCUUCCAUGUUGACAUCUAGCAUUUGAGGCCGUCCUUCGGCCCGAACUUCUUCUACCUUGUCUCCUAUCCAUUGGAACAAUUUUCCGUGAAGUGUAGAAGGUACGCACUCAUUUGAGUGUAUCCAAUCUCUUCCCAAUAGCAAGUUGUAGUGGCUGUCUGCAUCCACUACAAAAAAUGCCGUUUUCACCGUCUUUGAACCCACCGUGAGUUCGGUGGUGAGCACCCCUCGAGCUUGUUGACCGUUUCCUGUAAAAUCGGUCAUGAUUGAAUCGGUGGGCUUCAAUUCAUCUUCGUCUUUGCCCAACUUUUUGAAAAAAGAUGUGGGCAUCACAUUAACCAUAGCCUCGCCAUCUAUCGUAACUCGGCCUACCGGCCGACCUUCUAUUAAAGCUUUUAUAAACAGAGGCCUUAUGAACCUUACCUGCAUGGCCGAUGGUUUCUCAAAAACCACUGCAUCGGCCGGUCGAGCAUCCUCUAGCUGCAACUGGGCCACCGUAAGCCCAUUCUCUUCUUCUUCUCUGAAUUCCUCGUACUCCACAAGCUCCGCUUUGAAGGAUUGAGGCAGAGCGUACACCAUAUUUACCUCGGCCGGUGAUUCGUCAGCCGAUUUUUCUUUAAUUCUUUGUUUCUUUUCUUCUGACUCCUUAGCCGUUUCGGCGGAGGAGUCGCUCUCCAUGCGGACUUCCCUCUCUUUAGGAGGCCACCUUUCCCUCUUGAUCAUUGUUUCGAGGGAAGCUAUUUUAUCUUCUAACUCCUUCCUGAUCAUUUUCUCUUCUAACUCGGCCUCAGUUGGACGUUCUAUUCUUGACUUCAUAUGUAGGGCAAGCGAUGAGCCGCCUGCCUCAUGAUCAUUCUUCAUCGGUCGGAAAGGGUGCGGCUGCUCAUCUGGGCAUCUCCAUACAUUGAGCCUCAUCCCUUUCGCCUCUUCAUAAUGUUGACGUGCCUCGGCUUGCAUCCUCUGCUGCCGACGCUUUUGGGUUUUUGUUAACAUCGGCCCCUGCCAUCUGGCCGAUGGUUUAACUUCGACUUCGUGCCAUUCAUCCACUGGCAUAUUUGCCGGUACUUUUACUGUUCUUAAGUGAUUUUUUAGGAUUUCUCUUCUCUCCCAUGGUCUUGGCCAAGGCUGAAUGCCGAGUUCGUUGACUAAUCUCCGACCGAGGAAUUCUAUGUCCCCUUCGGUCAUACCUUCAAAUUC
rnacentral:lncRNA from 1 species